AAAAAUGGUGACUACGCCUGUGUUGUGUAGAUCAGAUCAACCAUCCUUUACAUGCAUGCAUGUUAAUAUUUGUUGCCACCAUACUCAUACUGUAUUGAUAAGAUGGAAUAAAGCUUACUCAGUUUGAAUUCUGAUUUCUACUUUUCUAUCAUGCAUUGCAUACUAGUACCACUACAUACAAACACCAGAGAGCUAUACCGCAUACAAGAUGCAUGCAAGAUGACGAGCAUACCAUCCAUGUGUAAGUAGGUUACACGCCAUCUCCAAUCUUCAUCCAACUAAAUCCAUUUUGCUUCAAAAGAGUUGGAAUUCACUUUGCUCUUCCAUUCAGAAAACUUUAUCCACCAUCGCAGCCGGCUGCAAUCCUCUAAUUUCUGCAUCACGAAUUGCUUCUAAUGUCCAGGCGAUCAUAUUUUCCUGUGACCAAUUCUACAAACAUCCAGUAAAGAGAUUUCACAACUGAAUCAUCAACGGACAAAAGAUUUCAAAAGCAUAUGUAGAGUACCUGUCGCAUGCCCCAGCUAUUAAGUCAAAGACACCCCUGGCUGAAAUCUUAAUCCACACACCACUAACCUGCACAUGAAGGCAUUUUCGACAACCAGGAAAAAUAUACAAUGACAUAUCUUGACAACAAAAGGAAAGCUACAAGCAUCCAAUGCUCAGAAGGAACACAACACUCUUCCCAGGUUCUCACUGUAACUUAGUUUAGUAAUGCACAGGCAUGAUACAAAUGGCACAAACUCUACUAAAAUCAUAUAUCUUUUGAAUAAACCAUCUAUGCCGUACCACGUCCCAGCGCUACCAAGUAGAGUACAAACAGGAGCACCCUGUCUUAUAUGCUCAUCAG
rnacentral:lncRNA from 1 species